GUGGCCUACUGGCAAUCUAAGGCUGAGCAAUGCUGCUGGUUUUGUUUGGACCUUUCCUUGACAGCCAGAGGGUAUCAGCCCCAUGAUUGUUUAGGAUGUGUCAUCAUCCAGGGUGAAAAUGACAUCACCAGAGCAAAUUACUCUGGGAUUUUGCAAAUCUGCAGCGCAGGACUUGCCAGAGAAAAUGAAACCAUAGCUCAGUCCUCUCAUCUCUGUUGUUGUGGAGCAAACGAGUGGGGAUGUGGGGGAAGAAGAGAGAAAGGAACUGACUUCUACUGAGUGCCUCUAAGAACCAGGCACUGGGAAGAAGUGAGGGAAGGUAUACUGCUUCCUCUUGUUCAGAAGCAGAAAUUGAAACUAGAAAACUGGGACUGGGAGGUCCUCUGGAGAGACUAUUCAUUUUUGCUAAAGAGAAACAAGAUGAGGAACAUCCAUGAGUGGAAGGCAAGUAGUCUUCAUCCACACAUUACUCCCAAGUCCCCAAACCCAUCUUCGAACCUCUAAGUCCCCAGUAAUCUAGACCCUAACUCAACUCUUCAUAGAAGAGAAAAUGACCCACUUUCAUGGGUGCAGUGUUUUAGAGGAACAGAGAACUUUUAUACAGCUUCUGUUUGUUUUUAAAGCAAGACUGGGAGACAGGCAAAAUACUCUUAUUUCCAUUUUUCCAUUGUAUAGAUGAAAUGUCUGAGAAACUGGGACUCAGGUUGGUAAUGGGGUUUGGUGAAAGCCACACAUUCAGAUGAUAUAUUCUUUGUCAUCUCAGUCUUUGGGAUCAGAAAGGUACAUAGAUCCUGAUAAUAAUGGACUUUUGCUUGUUUUUUAUGGAGGUGAAGUUCCCAUGACAUAUCAUUAGCCAGUUUAAAGUGAGCAAUUCAGUGGCUUUUAGUACAUUGACAAUGUUGUGCAAUCACUAGUUCUGUCUUCAGAGUUUUUCAUUAUGCCCUCCCUGGGUUUUUGUGCUGAAUAAAAGAGCUUAUCUGUGUAUGAAUUCAGCUGAGGGCCUUGCCCCUGGUAGGGGCUGAAUGAAGGGAGGCUGUGUUAACAGACUGUCUACCUCUCUCAUAAACUUGAUAGUGUAGAAAGAGGGAUUCUUUCCUAAAUGUAGUACCUCGAGAAAAUCAGGUUGAGGAUAUAUGAAGUGUUCAUGUCCCAAUCCUUUUGUAAAAUGACAUUUCAAAAUUGCUCUCUUCUGGGAAACCUUUCCCCAGGAACUCCUAUUCUCAAGUGAAGACACAUUUACCUACUGCUGCCCAGGACUGAAUCACUCGGUCACAGAGCAUCUUGUCUUUUGAAAAGAGUUCAUCUCUGGGCCGGGCCGUGACAUGCACAACGUUGGAGGUACUACAGUACUCUGCCUUGCCCUGAGUACAGAAAUGUGCAUAACAGAUGUGUGUUGGAUUGUACCCAGUGGUGGCCGGCAAGCCCCCACAUUCCAGCCAUGGUGACUGGCAUUUUCCCCACAUUUGAAAUAGGGUUUUGGUG